rnacentral:rRNA from 1 species
GACGAACGCUGGCGGCGUGCCUAAUACAUGCAAGUAGAACGCACAGUUUAUACCGUAGCUUGCUACACCAUAGACUGUGAGUUGCGAACGGGUGAGUAACGCGUAGGUAACCUGCCUGGUAGCGGGGGAUAACUAUUGGAAACGAUAGCUAAUACCGCAUAAUAUUAAUUAUUGCAUGAUAAUUGAUUGAAAGAUGCAACUGCAUCACUACCAGAUGGACCUGCGUUGUAUUAGCUAGUAGGUGAGGUAACGGCUCACCUAGGCGACGAUACAUAGCCGACCUGAGAGGGUGAUCGGCCACACUGGGACUGAGACACGGCCCAGACUCCUACGGGAGGCAGCAGUAGGGAAUCUUCGGCAAUGGACGAAAGUCUGACCGAGCAACGCCGCGUGAGGGAAGAAGGUUUUCGGAUCGUAAAGCUCUGUUGUAAGAGAAGAACGGGUGUGAGAGUGGAAAGUUCACACUGUGACGGUAGCUUACCAGAAAGGGACGGCUAACUACGUG